rnacentral:rRNA from 1 species
UCNAACGGAACAGGGUGCUUGCACCGCUGACGAGUGGCAAACGGGUGAGUAAUGCGUCGGAACGUGCCGAGUAGUGGGGGAUAACGCAGCGAAAGUUGUGCUAAUACCGCAUACGUACUGAGGUAGAAAGUGGGGGACCUUCGGGCCUCACGCUAUUCGAGCGGCCGACGUCUGAUUAGCUAGUAGGUGAGGUAAAGGCUCACCUAGGCGACGAUCAGUAGCGGGUCUGAGAGGAUGAUCCGCCACACUGGGACUGAGACACGGCCCAGACUCCUACGGGAGGCAGCAGUGGGGAAUUUUGGACAAUGGGCGAAAGCCUGAUCCAGCCAUGCCGCGUGUCUGAAGAAGGCCUUCGGGUUGUAAAGGACUUUUGUCAGGGAGGAAAUCCCUAGUGNUAAUANCNCUGGGGGAUGACAGUACCUGAAGAAUAAGCACCGGCUAACUACGUGCCAGCAGCCGCGGUAAUANAAAAAA